rnacentral:lncRNA from 1 species
GAACGAGAACCUCCACGGGCAGUUCUUCGAGAGCAGGCUCGGCCGCAACGCGUCGUCCGAGGUGUACCAGCGGGUGGCGCGGAUCGACCGGACGGCGAGGCUGUUCAUGAACGAGUUCGGCACGCUGGAGGAGCCGCUGGACGCGGCUGCCAUCUCCAGCAAGUACGUCGCCAAGCUGAAGCAGAUACGCUCCUACCCCGGCAACCGCGGCAUCAAGCUCGCCGUCGGCCUCGAGAGCCACUUCGGCACGCCCAACAUCCCCUACAUGAGGGCGACGCUGGACAUGCUCGCGCAGCUCAGGGUCCCCAUCUGGCUCACCGAGGUCGACGUCGGCCCGAAGGGCGCCCCCUACGUGCCGGUCUACCUGGAGGAGGUGCUGAGGGAAGGCUACGGGCACCCCAACGUGGAGGGCAUGGUGAUGUGGGCGGCCUGGCACGCGCAGGGCUGUUGGGUCAUGUGCCUCACGGACAACA